CCACUUCAUCGGGCUUAUUCCCUCUCUGUUCCCCUCCUCCACUCAGGCCAUCCCCCACCAUCUCAAUUCAGACCCCAGCCUGGCUCUGACCUCCUUUUCCUCCCCUUCCUCACCCCCGGCCCCCAUCCCCGGCCCGGAAUCGCCAAAACCUAGUCUGACCCUGCCUCUUUUUGGAGAUGCUUGCUUGUUUCCCUCGCCCACGCCUAGGGCUUUGGGAAGUAUUUUCUAGCCCCUGAAGCUGAGAGUUCUUUCCACCACCGCUACCCCGCUCCCAAAAAGUAAAUGGGGAAGGGGGGCGCUACAAUGACCGUGAGGGUAAAUGGAACCCUCCCCUUAUUGGUCAGGAGAGUGAAUGGAAUUCCCCCAUUGGCCAGGCGGGUGAAUGGAAUCCCCCCUUUAUUGGCCCUGAAGGGGUUCAUUCCCCCCAUUCCUGACUGUAUCCAGUUCCGAGCCUUUCCAACCGAGACGCCCCUCCUCAUCCCUCCGCAGAGCAAGUUGGAGCCGAUGUUCCGCAUACAGUGGAUGAUUAAUGUUCAGUAUUCGUGGGGCUUGGCUGCUUGUUUUCCCUGGGAAAUGGGAAAGACUUAAGCUCAGGUAUGAAUACCCAUGAGACCAGCUGCUCUCAAGCAUCUUCCAGAUACCUAGAUCCAAGACUCCAAAUCCCACAGCCUGGACUCCAAGAUGGAACCAUGUACCAAACCCAAGGCCGGGAGAUUCAGUCUGUGAACUGGACACUGGUAACUGAGAGUAAGGAGGAAUCCAAACUGACAGCCAGAAAAUGAGAUCCAGAGUAACCUGCCAAGGUCUCACAGCUAGUAAACAGCACAGCGGGGUCUGUACCCAGACCUCCAAAACUCAACUGCAGCAGUCUUUCUACCAUGCUGCCUCUCUCAGCAGCUAUGCUGAGAUCUGCAGUCAAGGCCUUCCUGUGGAGUACUGAUCCUCUUCCUCAAAGGUGGCGCCCAGAAGUGAACCCAGCACUGCAGGACGUGGUUUGACCAGGAGCCAAGCACAAGGGGACCCUGAGCUCCCGGCACCCAGACCCCACGUCUCUCCUAAAGUAGUCCAAGACUACAUUCACGCUGCCGGCUGCUCAUGGUAAGCUCAGAGUCCCCUAAAAUCUGUGCUCUAUCUUCAGAUGAACUGCAGCCUAGCCAAGCCCCUCCUUCAUCCUAUACAAUAAAAAGGUGACUUUUUGAACCCGAGUAAAAGGCUUUCUGUUAUCUCUAGGCUACAUCAUCCGGUGUAAUUCCACCCACUGUCCGGGCCUGUCAGGAUCACCUGACCGUGUCUUACAGGGUGCUCACGACCCCUCCCAGAUCCAUCACCCACAAAUAUGAUGAGCAUGUUGUCCAUGCUCUUGUCUCAGGAACUGAUGAAGCUGUUCAACCCGGAACUAAGAACAGAUGAGAAACCCUACCCGAACGGCCCUCCAGACUGCCUCCAAACCUCAGCCAGUUCUAAACCCAUCUAACUGCUGUCGCCCGGCCCACAUCUCGCCAUCUCUUCCAAGAGAAGAGCAUGAGAGACUCUGUUCAAUGCCCUGCUUGAUUCCCCCUAAGCCCGAUCUCUCAUUCCCCUGAUGGCCCAGUUUGGGAACCAGUGAAAAAAGGAAUAAGGUUAGUCUGGGAGCGUACCAACUGCCCUGCUGUCAACUUUCCUCUCACCACCAGGAGCCACGCCCAUCAGCAGCAUCUCUAGCAACCCUGCCCCCAACCCAAGUCUGGGAACUCGGGGAAACCUCCCCUCAAACCCUCAAUCUAGCCAGCACCGCCCAACGACACAUCCCAGGAGGACACAGAACCUAGCCAACACGGGGAUCUCACCAACUGUCCCACCAUCAAAUGCACAAUGCAGCCACCAUUUUCCAUCAUUUACUUGAAGAAUAAUAAACGUUACCAUUACUAACGGGAAGAGCAUGACAAACUACUUCCUUAUGGCUCUACACCUAAUUUCUAUGAGUCUAGGUCACAAACUGCCUAGAUCAAAGCUGCCUUAUCUGGCCCCCGACUUUUCUUUCUUCAUACCCAGCCAUGCCAGGCCUGAGCCUCCAGGGUCCCUAACCAUCUCUUCUACUGAGCCAGCCUAAGCUGAUUAUAUUUCACCCCUUCUCCUUACCUGCUCUAUUUGGCCAAACAGGCCUAUGUGCUGUUUACUCUAUGGGACAUCCCAUUUCCAGCUUCUACUGGGGAUGUCCACACUGCCAGGAAUGUUUUCCUCAUCUCUACCUCUUGGAACUCCUAGAACUUCUGAACUCCUAGAACUAGAAUUUCAGGCUCUUCAGCUCAAAGGCUACUUCCUUCAAGAUAUAGAUAUCCUUCAUUUCCUUAUCUGUGAACAAGUUAUAUCCUUCUAGUAAAAUAUAAGCUUCUUAGGACUGUCUCAUUUCUGAAUUUUUAUUUUUCUGGGAACACAGUAGAUGCUUAAUAACUGUCUGUUGAUUGACUGGUUCUCUGUGAUAAUAGAUUUCUAGAUGUCCACUAGCUAUAUUUUUAAUAUGGUUAACACAUUUAACUUAAUAAUAUAUACUUUAAUAAUAUAUUCUAGAACCUUCCCGGAAACCAAAGGCAAUCAGGAAGUCAGGCUUUCUGGCCUGCAAUUUGUAAACUCUAGUCUCUUUUUUGAAAAUGGAAGCAGUAUGUCCUUUUCCAACCCUGAGGUACCUCUCCCUUUCUCUAUAAUAUAAAGUAGCAUAUACACAACACAAAUUUAAUAUGUGUUGUCAGAGUUUAGAAGAAGGAGGACACAAUAUAGUCUGAGAUGUUCAGGGACAACAAGGACUUGGGCCCAACUUGAGGUCGGUAGGGUUUGGAAGAAGACAGGAUGGAGAGAGUAUUCCAAGGCAGGGGAAGAUGUACAAGGGGGUGGGAGUCAGGAUGAUGCUGGUGAUUAAGGGACACAUGAGACCAGCAUGGCUAGGGUACAGCAUGGUGGGGUGGGAAGCAGUACCUAUCAGUUUGGGGCUGGGAGAAAGGCCAACUAGCUAGAAUGGAACAAUGGAUUAAAUCCUAAAAGGUAUUAAGGGUGGAGAAAGAAAGAUAAGAGGCAGCAUGGUGUGGGGAAAAAAGAACCAGAUUUUGAAUCACCAAGACUUGAGUUCAAAUCUGCAGUCUGCUAGCUACUAGCUGUUUGACCCUGGGCAAAUCACUAAGUUUGCUCCUCAGCUCCUUGAAAACAACUCCUCUGACUGACUCCGCAAGCUGGGAGUCAGAGUGUUCCUGGGGCAAGUGGUGUUCCUGGCAGUGUAGCCCUAUCCUGGCUCUGCUCAGUGAUCUGGGGUGCCCUCUUCUUCCUGCCACCCCACAGGGGAUCCUCCCUCCCUGGAGCU